GACGAACCGAGCGAACGUUAUUCGGAAUCACUGGGCUUAAAGGGCGCGUAGGCGGGCCGGCUAGUCAGGGGUGAAAGCCCCCAGCUCAACUGGGGAAGUGCCUCUGAUACUGCCGGCCUCGAGGGAGGUAGGGGCGUGCGGAACUUCCGGUGGAGCGGUGAAAUGCGUAGAUAUCGGAAGGAACACCGGUGGCGAAAGCGGCGCGCUGGACCUCUUCUGACGCUGAGGCGCGAAAGCCAGGGGAGCGAACGGG
rnacentral:rRNA from 1 species